rnacentral:lncRNA from 1 species
UUUCCCUGCUCCAGCUCCUCUCCCGCCGAGCCAGGAUUUGCUCCGUGGUUUUCUUGGAGCCCCUCUGGGUGUCCCCAAUCCCGGUGGCUCUGGGGACGCCCAUUCCCGGCUCCCCGGAGCCUCCCAAGCCCCCGGGGCCACCCCAAUCCGGAGGGAAGGGGUUCGGAGAUGCCGAGCGGGAUUUUCCCAGCUCCGGAGGCUCCGGCUCGGGAUCUCAUCCCGGUUUUCUCCAUCCCCAGAUGUCCCCGAGGUUGAGGUGGCCCUGGAGAACAACCUGGAAGAGGAUCCAGCCCAUCCCAAGCCCCAGAGCGUCUCCCCCAGCCCGGAGGAGAUCCACGUGGGGCAGCCGGUCCCACUGUGCUGCUGGACGUCGCGGCCGCAGCCCACGGUGGAGCAGGGCAGCCAGGUGUCCCCCAAGAUCCUGAAGCUGGAAUGCGACCACGAGCCGGGCCCCAGCCGUCCCAAAUCCCGCUGGGAAUUCCCGACGCAGCCCGGGCCCUCGGCAGCACCGCACAACUGCGCCCGCGCCGGCGACACCGGUGGGCGCCGGGAGCGUCCCCGUUCCCGU